UUCAUAUUCCAGGCCUACAGGUGGCGCUUGAAAUCUUUAUUUGUAUUUAUUCUCAUAGCUAAAAAGAUUCAUCCCACCCUACAUGUAGUAAAUUUUGUACAGUCCCUAAGUAUUCCAUCAUACAACAUUUCUGAUUGUGCUCCAUGUAACUGUGGGUCACUGCCUCUAUGAAGGAAGGACAGCGAGAUCAGCUGGAGCUUGUAAACCGAUCGGCCCACAGAUCGCCUCUUUCCGCAGAGUAACGAAGGAGCCGAAUCAACCGCGGCUCAUCUGAUAAACCCACAGAAGCUCUCCGCGACUCAAACAAGUGGAAUCAGUUCUUUACACGACGUUAGUGCUUCUCCAUCUCUGCAGGUACCUGCGCUGACCGUCUGUUGUUCGCCCUCAGGCUGCCUCUCCGGGACACACUCGAGAGUUUGACCUCUUUUGAACUCCGGGGUGACACUCGUGGCUUUUUGAAUCUGACAGAGUUUCUGAGAACCGGCAGACGACCAGCUCGACUUCAGCAGGCCAAUUUUGGCAACUUGGAAAAGGAACUCAAACAACGAUGAGAGUUCAUGUCGCGAGGAAAUCAGCAAUUUGGAGUCGUGCACAGAGAGCAACCUGCUGCUCAACAUCUGCAAAACCAAACAGCUGCUGGCAGAUUUUUAAAAGGUAAGGAGGCAAAGACACACAGUACUGUUUGUGUAUUUAUUUAUUCAUUAUAUUAUUAAUUUGCUCUUAUUUUUUCUGUUUUUUAUUGUAUUUGUACUGAAUGUACCUGCUGCUAUCCCCCCAAAUAAAAGUGAUAU